UACGGAGGGUGCAAGCGUUAUCCGGAUUCACUGGGUUUAAAGGGUGCGUAGGUGGGUCUGUAAGUCAGUGGUGAAAUCUCCAAGCUUAACUUGGAAACUGCCGUUGAUACUAUAGAUCUUGAAUGUUGUGGAGGUGAGCAGAAUAUGUCAUGUAGCGGUGAAAUGCUUAGAUAUGACAUAGAACACCAAUUGCGAAGGCAGCUCACUACACAAAUAUUGACACUGAGGCACGAAAGCGUGGGGAUCAAACAGG
rnacentral:rRNA from 1 species